rnacentral:ncRNA from 2 species
CCGCCCCCAUUCGGCUUCCGCUUUCGGAACACGGUGCAACUCCGUGGCGGGCCCGCCGCUGUAAUCGGGGACGGUCGUUCCACGGCGUGGUGCAGUUUUUCCACGCCACCCACUGCCGCAGCAAAUGCGGCGGGAAGGGGGAGCCCAGUAGCAGGACCGGUCGAUCCGUAAGCCAGAAGACGGGCGGAAGUCGUGGAGUUCCA